AUUGAACGCUGGCGGAAUGCUUUACACAUGCAAGUCGAACGGCAGCACGGACUUCGGUCUGGUGGCGAGUGGCGAACGGGUGAGUAACAUAUCGGAACGUAUCCAAUAAUGGGGGAUAACUAAUCGAAAGGUUGGCUAAUACCGCAUACGCCCUACGGGGAAAGCUAGGGAUCGUAAGACCUGGCGUUAAUGGAGCGGCCGAUAUCUGAUUAGCUAGUUGGUGAGGUAAAGGCUCACCAAGGCGACGAUCAGUAGCUGGUCUGAGAGGACGACCAGCCACACUGGAACUGAGACACGGUCCAGACUCCUACGGGAGGCAGCAGUGGGGAAUUUUGGACAAUGGGCGCAAGCCUGAUCCAGCCAUUCCGCGUGAGUGAAGAAGGCC
rnacentral:rRNA from 1 species